UACGUAGGGACCAAGCGUUGUCCGGAAUCAUUGGGCGUAAAGAGCGUGUAGGCGGCUUGUUAAGUCUUGCGUGAAAUCUCGGGGCUCAACCCCGAGCGGUUGUGAGAAACUGGCAGGCUAGAGUGCGGGAGAGGAGAGUGGAAUUCCUGGUGUAGCGGUGAAAUGCGCAGAUAUCAGGAAGAACACCCGUGGCGAAGGCGGCUCUCUGGAACGCAACUGACGCUGAGACGCGAAAGCGUGGGGAGCAAACAGG
rnacentral:rRNA from 1 species